rnacentral:rRNA from 1 species
UGGGGAAUCUUGCGCAAUGGGCGAAAGCCUGACGCAGCGACGCCGCGUGAGUGAUGAAGGCCUUCGGGUUGUAAAGCUCUGUGGAGAGGGACGAAUAAGUGUUGGCUAACAUCCAGCAUGAUGACGGUACCUCUUUAGCAAGCACCGGCUAACUCUGUGCCAGCAGCCGCGGUAAGACAGAGGGUGCAAACGUUGUUCGGAAUUACUGGGCGUAAAGCGCGUGUAGGCGGCUUGGCAAGUCGGGUGUGAAAGCCCCGGGCUCAACCUGGGAAGUGCACUCGAAACUGCUUGGCUUGAGUACUGGAGAGGGAAGCGGAAUUCUCGGUGUAGAGGUGAAAUUCGUAGAUAUCGAGAGGAACACCGGUGGCGAAGGCGGCUUCCUGGACAGUCACUGACGCUGAGACGCGAAAGCGUGGGGAGCAAACAGG